GCUCUGCUCCUCCUCUCUAAUCCUUUGUCCCUGGGUAAGAGUGCUUUGGGAAUGCAGUGCACCCAGGCAAGGAUUCUGAGAGGGUGAGCC
rnacentral:pre_miRNA from 1 species